rnacentral:lncRNA from 1 species
GGUGACAGUUUCAUAAUGGAUUAGAGAGAAAAGAUGUCCUGGAGAAACUGCUCUAAACUCUGAGGAGGGUCAUCACCUUUGCCUGAAUCGACCAGUGUACAGUUCUGUACCCAUGCCCGUUAUGACCGUCUUUGAUUUGUUGACCAAUGUGGCUUACGUCAUCCACUUAUGCUGUCUCUCCUGAGUGGUGAUGCUGUGGCUGUGACACUUGGUAACAAGAUCCUAAGCCAUGUUCGGAGACUCAUUCCUACUACAGUGGCCGUGGCUUGUGCCAGCGAACUGAACUCCUCAACCAUUAUAACAUCCAGUGUUAACAGUUAUUCCUCCCAUAUCCGUGGAGCAACCCUCAUUUGA